rnacentral:rRNA from 1 species
CGGGGUGCACCAGGCGCGAAAACUUUACAAUGCGGGAAACCGUGAUAAGGGGACACCGAGUGCCAGCAUCAUAUGCUGGCUGUCCAGGUGUGUAAAAUACACCUGUUAGCAAGGGCCGGGCAAGACCGGUGCCAGCCGCCGCGGUAACACCGGCGGCCCGAGUGGUGAUCGUGAUUAUUGGGUCUAAAGGGUCCGUAGCCGGUUUGGUCAGUCCUCCGGGAAAUCUGACGGCUCAACCGUUAGGCUUUCGGGGGAUACUGCCAGGCUUGGAACCGGGAGAGGUAAGAGGUACUACAGGGGUAGGAGUGAAAUCUUGUAAUCCCUGUGAGACCACCUGUGGCGAAGGCGUCUUACCAGAACGGGUUCGACGGUGAGGGACGAAAGCUGGGGGCACGAACCGGAUUAGAUACCCGGGUAGUCCCAGCCGUAAACGAUGCUCGCUAGGUGUCAGGCAUGGCGCGACCGCGUCUGGUGCCGCAGGGAAGCCGUGAAGCGAGCCACCUGGGAAGUACGGCCGCAAGGCUGAAACUUAAAGGAAUUGGCGGGGAGCACA